rnacentral:rRNA from 1 species
UGCGUAGGCGGCCUAUUAAGUCAGUGGUGAAAGGUAUCAGCUUAACUGAUGACGUGCCAUUGAAACUGUUAGGCUUGAGUACAGACGAGGUAGGCGGAAUUUAUGGUGUAGCGGUGAAAUGCAUAGAUACCAUAAAGAACACCAAUUGCGAAGGCAGCUUACUAGACUGAGACUGACGCUGAGGCACGAAAGCGUGGGGAGCGAACAGGAUUAGAUACCCUGGUAGUCC